UGGGUAACCUGCUUCAAAGAGGGGAAUAGCCUCCCGAAAGGGAGAUUAAUACCGCAUAAUAUGUUUAAGUCGCAUGACUUUAACAUCAAAGGAUUUUCUUUUAGAAAUUCCACUUUGAGAUGGACCCGCGGCGCAUUAGCUAGUUGGUGAGGUAACGGCUCACCAAGGCAACGAUGCGUAGCG
rnacentral:rRNA from 1 species